UACGGAGGGGGCUAGCGUUGUUCGGAAUUACUGGGCGUAAAGCGCACGUAGGCGGACAUUUAAGUCAGGGGUGAAACCCCGGGGCUCAACCCCGGAACUGCCUUUGAUACUGGGUGUCUGGAGGUCGAGAGAGGUGAGUGGAAUUCCGAGUGUAGAGGUGAAAUUCGUAGAUAUUCGGAGGAACACCAGUGGCGAAGGCGGCUCACUGGCUCGAUACUGACGCUGAGGUGCGAAAGCGUGGGGAGCAAACAGG
rnacentral:rRNA from 1 species